rnacentral:lncRNA from 13 species
ACUCUACCCGGUACUCUACCCGGUACUCUACCCGGCUACCACCCGGUACUCUACCCUGUACUCUACCCGGUACUCUACCCGGUACUCUACCCGGCUACCACCCGGUACUCUACCCGGUACUCUACCCGGUACUCUACCCUGCACCUUAGAGACCGCUGUCCUAUGGACAUAGUCAUGGAACACUGGCCACUUUAAUCAUGUUUACAUACUGUUUUACCCACUUUGUAUGUAUAUACUGUAUUCUAGUCAAGUCCAUCCUAUUCAACUAGUCCUGUAUUCUAGUCAAGUCCAUCCUAUUCAACUAGUCCUGUAUAUACUGUAUUCUAGUCAAGUCCAUCCUAUUCAACUAGUCCUGUAUAUACUGUAUUCUAGUCAAGUCCAUCCUAUUCAACUAGUCCUGUAUAUAUACUGUAUUCUAGUC